GAUGAACGCUGGCGGCGUGCCUAAUACAUGCAAGUCGAGCGAACGGACGAGAAGCUUGCUUUUCUGAUGUUAGCGGCGGACGGGUGAGUAACACGUGGAUAACCUACCUAUAAGACUGGGAUAACUUCGGGAAACCGGAGCUAAUACCGGAUAAUAUUUUGAACCGCAUGGUUCAUAAGUGAAAGACGGUCUUGCUGUCACUUAUAGAUGGAUCCGCGCUGCAUUAGCUAGUUGGUAAGGUAACGGCUUACCAAGGCAACGAUGCAUAGCCGACCUGAGAGGGGGAUCGGCCACACUGGAACUGAGAAACGGUCCAGACUCCGAGGGGAGGCCGGAGUAGGGAAUCUGCCGCAAUGGGCGAAAGCCUGACGGAGCAACGCCGCGUGAGUGAUGAAGGUCUUCGGAUCGUAAAACUCUGUUAUUAGGGAAGAACAUAUGUGUAAGUAACUGUGCACAUCUUGACGGUACCUAAUCAGAAAGCCACGGCUAACUACGUG
rnacentral:rRNA from 1 species